rnacentral:rRNA from 1 species
CCUACGGGUGGCAGCAGUAGGGAAUUUUGCGCAUUGGGCGAAAGCCUGACGCAGCAACGCCGCGUGAUCGAGACGCCCUUCGGGGUGUAAAGAUCUGUCAGUGGGGGCGAAACUUGACGGUACCCACAUAGGAAGCACCGGCUAACUCCGUGCCAGCAGCCGCGGUAAUACGGCGGGUGCAAGCGUUGUCCGGAAUCAUUGGGCGUAAGGGGUUCGUAGGCGGUACGUAAAGUCUGGUGUUAAAGGUCGAGGCUCAACUUCUGUACGGCACUGGAUACUUGCGAGCUAGAGUGCGGUAGAGGUAAAGGGAAUUCCUGGUGUAGCGGUGAAAUGCUUAGAUAUCAGGAGGAACACCGGUGGCGUAAGCGCCUUACUGGGCCGUAAUUGACGCUGAGGAACGAAAGCCAGGGGAGCAAAUGGGAUUAGAUACCCCGGUAGUC